CUUGUUUGUUGAUGAUAGUCUUUGAUUAUGCUUCUUGUUCCAGUGUAAAUUCUCAUAGCAGCCUCUCUCCUUGUCAUAGAUUUUCUGUGUUUAAAUAAUGAAUUCAUUCUGGUAUUCUUGCACAUGAGGUAUAUUAAUUGAAAUGAAGAUUAAUUGAAUAUCUUGUAUCCACAGGGUCCCACCCUGACUCCUUCUCUAAUUCAUUUUCCCAGCCCCAUCCACUAGUCAGCGUCACUUAUCACAGUAUUUGUUCCUCUCUGAAGUGAUGUUACGUGAUUUAUUGACGUACUUUUGUGUCUGCUGGCUCACACACUUCCCCAUCAGGUGCCUUGAUUCCUGAAGUCUUGUUCUUGAGCCAUUCCCGGGGCUUGGAGUGCACUUCCACGACUAACCGGAGGUUCCCAGGGUGAGCUUAGCCUGAACAUCCAUGAGGAAGCUGCCAGCAGCCCAAGGCUCCGUGGAGACAUAGGACGAACCCUCAGCUCCCAGUCACCAGAGAUUGUUACCGGACGGGACAGCACUCCAGGACACCAAACUUGGGUCUUUCUUGCUUAGUCAUGCAGCACAUUGCUCUUCCAAAUCAAAACUGGGAUCAGGAAAUGAUGUCGGUGUGAAGCAGGUGAAUUACCCUAGAAUGGGGAGCAGAGGGCCAAGACCAAUGGCUGCAAGCUGAGCCCAUCUCGAGCCUGCAGAUGGAGGGCAGUGAAGUUGUCCUGGGUGCUUCCCGGGCAGUGCCCUCCCCUGCAUGAGGCUUCCGGCUGCCCAGCGCAGUUGCAGGAGGAGUGUCGACAGAAGCUGUGAGUACUGGUGACCAGGAAAACCCUACUGUGAGAAAAGUCACUGUUCAG
rnacentral:lncRNA from 1 species